rnacentral:rRNA from 1 species
UACAGAGGGUGCGAGCGUUAAUCGGAAUUACUGGGCGUAAAGCGUGCGUAGACGGUUAUUUAAGUCAGGUGUGAAAGCCCAGGGCUCAACCUUGGAAUUGCAUUUGAGACUGAAUAGCUAGGGUGCGGAAGAGGGAAGCGGAAUUUCCGGUGUAGCGGUGAAAUGCGUAGAUAUCGGAAGGAACACCAGUGGCGAAAGCGGCUUCCUGGUCCAGCACCGACGUUCAGGCACGAAAGCGUGGGGAGCAAACAGG